UUUCCCAGUUGGUGUAUAAUUUCAAGUAUAUCUCCAACAGGUCCAUAGGAGAAAGUUAGCACAGGAUGCAUAGCAUGGAGCAGUGUGACUGUCUUGACACUGACAGUACAAAUUUCAAGAUAUAUGCUUCCUACAGAAAAAGAUGGGAGUAGAAACAAAUGUAAUAACAUAACAGUAGUGGUUUGGGUGAUUUAUAAGUGGACCCAAACUACUCAACAUUGCCAUCAACAAAGGUGCUGGCAUGGCCGUGUCAUGCACCUGUGCAUAAACAAGACAGAAAGUUUUAGCCAUAGUUGGCUCAACCCUAUUUUUGUGGUAUGAAUACAUAUCAAACAGCCACAACGGAAACAGGAUGGUGAGGACAUGCUCUGAAGAUUAGUUUUAGGUAUUAGAGUACCACAAGGCCUUGAGAACGAAAGAAAGUGGCAGAUUCAUGAGAGUUGGAGUGUUAUCUGUUUAUUCCUUCCUUUUGGUCUUAUUUUCUUUCAUACUAUGAUGUGUGACUUUCCUACGA